rnacentral:rRNA from 1 species
UACGGAGGGUGCGAGCGUUGUCCGGAAUCACUGGGCGUAAAGGGCGCGUAGGCGGAUGUUUAAGUCGGGGGUGAAAGCCCGGGGCUCAACCUCGGAAUUGCCUUCGAUACUGGACAUCUUGAGUACGGGAGAGGUGAGUGGAACUCCGAGUGUAGAGGUGAAAUUCGUAGAUAUUCGAAAGAACACCAGUGGCGAAGGCGGUCUGCUGGGCAGUAGCUGACACUGAGGCGCGACAGCGUGGGGAGCAAACAGG